rnacentral:lncRNA from 1 species
UGGUACCUCUAGUAACAAACUCUUCAACCAGAAAAAUCAUGCAUCCGUGAUGUAUUUGCUCCGGCCUGUUGGGCAUCUGAGGCAAUUACUCUCCUGUGAUCAGUGGCCAGUUCUAACUAACAGUUGUCUUGUGGAUCACUAUGUAUAUAUUGAGAACAGUAACAUCAGCAUUAGCAAUUAGCCUGAGGACCGCGAUGUGUUCAUAGUGCUGCUCCACCCAGGUUGCACGGCAAAGCUUAAUUCAAUGGGAGGUUCCCAUUAGACUUUCUUUGGUGGUAUGCUCCUAAGUUGGAGGAUGUUGAAGAAUAUUUACAAUACUAUGUUAAAUCUCUGACAGUUUUUCCUCAGAGUUUAGUUUACAAGUGGGGAAAAAAUGCAUGUCUUCUUAGUGUUUCAGUCAUCUUUCCUGAUAUCCAGCACUGAAGAACAGUAGUUCUAAGGAAUAGCUGACAGCUGAUAUCUGACAUAUACGAAAUGAAGGAAAUCUUCACAUAUAGGAUAUGUACAUGGUACUACCAAGUCAUGUCCUCUCUCAUGCCUGUUACUGCACCAUAACAUAUACCCCCUUUCUAUUAUUAUUUAAUUUUGAAUAAAUGUAAAAUAAUUUAAUGGAAGAGGAAAGCA